GAUUAAUUUUGACCACCUGGGCUUCCUUUAACGUGCACCGAAUGCACGUCGCUCGCGAAUGGCGAAACGCCCGUGCCGGUGAAGACGAAGAUCGGCGCAGCAGGUACGGUCGCGGCUGCCACCGGCUACCGCGGGUCAUGGUUGCUGAGCCCCGUCGUCGGCAGCCGACCGAGGAGGACUACUUCGCCGAUUCCGAGAUGGCCAACGGGUACGACGAGCGCAGGCGGAGGAGAUACUCGGAGCAGGGACCCCCCGACGGCUGCAUUCUCAACGAGUUCCCGCACACCAGUCGGUCCCGAAUCGUUGUCAGCAUCGUCGCGGUCCUGCUGGUGAUCAUCCUCUACCAGCUCUUCUUCGUUUGAAAAUUCCUCACAGCCCAGCGAGCGCGGUGAGGCUGGAGCCCGCGCAGCGUGUCACGCAUUUGUCUCUAGCAAACGGCCGUCGUGUUCGAGUGAAGGACCCCUUCGCAGCUGCACGAGUGCGGUGGGCCUGGAGUACACAGGCAGCCCGUCCGACUGCUACAGCUCCAGGAGUUCGAAAAGGCGGGGGGGUGGCAACCUCCGGCGACGCGGGCUCUCGUAAUGCGGCCAUGACCCGGACUGUCCUCGCUCCUCUCUCGACGGAAAACAAAAAUGCGUAUUGAAAGACGGGAAGCUUCGCCGCGCUGACAAAAUCACCGCUCGCGGCGAUCUGACCGGGGCAGCCAUGGAUCCUUGUUCAAGCGUCACAUCCUGGAUCAAGCAGCGAUUGAAUCUCCCUGUCAAAUAGACUAUUCGUUUUUCGAUGCAAGUUCAUCGGCUGUUGAAGUUCCCUGCCUACAUGACGUUUCGGUGGUACCUUCGCGACUGUUCGUGAAAUUGACAGAUAGGAAGCGUCAAAAAAUUGAAACCAUGAAGUCAGGUCGCUGCUUCACUCUACUGAAUAGGCUCACUGACUGUGUCAGAUCUUUACUGCUCCUAAUGUGAAUUGCCUAGUAAACAAUUACACUGCACAA